rnacentral:rRNA from 1 species
UACGGGAGUGGCAAGCGUUAUCCGGAAUUAUUGGGCGUAAAGCGUCCGCAGGCGGCCUUGUAAGUCUGUUGUUAAAGCGUGGAGCUUAACUCCAUUUGAGCAAUGGAAACUGCAAGGCUUGAGUGUGGUAGGGGCAGAGGGAAUUCCCGGUGUAGCGGUGAAAUGCGUAGAUAUCGGGAAGAACACCAGUGGCGAAGGCGCUCUGCUGGGCCAUAACUGACGCUCAUGGACGAAAGCCAGGGGAGCGAAAGGGAUUAGAUACCCCUGUAGUCCUGGCCGUAAACGAUGAACACUAGGUGUCGGGGGAAUCGACCCCCUCGGUGUCGUAGCCAACGCGUUAAGUGUUCCGCCUGGGGAGUACGCACGCAAGUGUGAAACUCAAAGGAAUUGACGGGGGCCCGCACAAGCGGUGGAGUAUGUGGUUUAAUUCGAUGCAACGCGAAGAACCUUACCAGGGUUUGACAUCCUGCGAAUCCCUUGGAAACGAGGGAGUGCCUUCGGGAGCGCAGUGACAGGUGGUGCAUGGCUGUCGUCAGCUCGUGUCGUGAGAUGUUGGGUUAAGUCCCGCAACGAGCGCAACCCACGUCGUUAGUUGCCAGCAUUCAGUUGGGCACUCUAGCGAGACCGCCGGUGAUAAACCGGAGGAAGGUGUGGAUGACGUCAAGUCAUCAUGCCCCUUACAUCCUGGGCUACACACGUACUACAAUGCUACGGACAAAGGGCAGCAAACUCGCGAGAGCUAGCAAAUCCCAUAAACCGUGGCUCAGUUCAGAUCGUAGGCUGCAACUCGCCUACGUGAAGGAGGAAUCGCUAGUAAUCGCAGGUCAGCAUACUGCGGUGAAUACGUUCCCGGGCCU